rnacentral:rRNA from 1 species
UACGUAGGGUGCAAGCGUUAAUCGGAAUUACUGGGCGUAAAGCGUGCGCAGGCGGUUUUGUAAGACUGUCGUGAAAUCCCCGGGCUCAACCUGGGAAUGGCGAUGGUGACUGCAAGGCUAGAGUUUGGCAGAGGGGGGUAGAAUUCCACGUGUAGCAGUGAAAUGCGUAGAUAUGUGGAGGAACACCGAUGGCGAAGGCAGCCCCCUGGGCCGACACUGACGCUCAGGCACGAAAGCGUGGGGAGCAAACAGG